CCUACGGGAGGCAGCAGUGAGGAAUAUUGGUCAAUGGUCGGGAGACUGAACCAGCCAAGCCGCGUGAGGGAUGAAGGUACAGAGUAUCGUAAACCUCUUUUGUCAGGGAACAAAGGCGGGGACGUGUCCCCGGAUGAGUGUACCUGAAGAACAAGCAUCGGCUAACUCCGUGCCAGCAGCCGCGGUAAUACGGAGGAUGCGAGCGUUAUCCGGAUUUAUUGGGUUUAAAGGGUGCGCAGGCGGUCUGUUAAGUCAGCGGUCAAAGCCCGGGGCUCAACCCCGGCCCGCCGUUGAAACUGGCAGUCGCGAGUUGGAGAGAAGUAGGCGGAAUGCGCGGUGUAGCGGUGAAAUGCAUAGAUAUCGCGCAGAACUCCGAUUGCGAAGGCAGCAUGCCGGCUCCAAACUGACGCUGAGGCACGAAAGCGUGGGUAUCGAACAGGAUUAGAUACCCCGGUAGUC
rnacentral:rRNA from 1 species